UGAUCACCCUCGCGCCCGACAGAGUCUCUGUAAUGAAAGCUCGGGAAGUUAUGGAGAGAAAGGAGACGAUACCAGUGAUUAAUGCCAAAGCCCUGUUGCCUGGGGAGAGGGUGAUGCUUGACUUUCUUGUACAGCUGCAGUUUGUGUGGUGAAGGUGCUCCCACAAUGUGGUUGGAUCCCAGUGAUUAAUGCCAAAGCCCCAUUGCCUGGGGAGAGGGUGAUGUUUGACUUCCUUGUACAGCUGCAGUUUGUGUGGUGAAGGUGCUCCCACAAUGUGGUUGGGUGGACAUUCAGAUGGUAACCUCAGUAUUUGUAACACCAAACUCUGACAGAAUUACUCAAUUCAUCAGGACCUGGAUAUUUGCAUUUAGUUCACAACCAGAACUGGGCACAGUAUUCCAGAAGAGGCCUCCCCAACAUCCUGUACAACCUCAACAUCCCGUCC